AAGUCGUAACAAGGUUUCCGUAGGGUACGUGCUCUCCCUGUCCUACGUCUUGUGAUUCAAUGCUAACGUGAUUAUAGUGAACCUGCGGAAGGAUCAUUAAUGAGUAAGGGUCUCGACUUAUACAGAGCCCGACCUCCAACCCUUUGUCUACCUUACCAAAUGUCGCUUCGGCGAGCCCCGCUUUCGAAAGAGGCCGCCGGAGGGUCGUUAAAACACUCUCUGGUCAGUGCCCGCCGGUGGCCCCAAUCAAAACUCUUGUUAAGAACUUGUCUAAGUAUAACAACAAAUAAGUAAAAA
rnacentral:misc_RNA from 1 species